rnacentral:lncRNA from 1 species
AGACAGAGUCUCGCUCUGUCGUCCAGGCUACAGUGCAGUGGUGUGAUCUUGGCUUACUGCAGCCUACACUUCCCGGGUUUGAGCGAUUCUCCUGCCUCAGCCUCCUGAGUAGCUGGGAUUACAGGCAUGCGCCAUCAUGCUAUCAUGCCUGGCUGAUUGAUUGAUUGAUUGAUUUAAGACAGUCAGUCUCCCUCUGUGGCCCAUGCUGGAGUGCAGUGAUGCAAUCUCGGCUCACUGCAACCUGUGCCUCCUGGGUUCAAGCAAUUCUAAUGCCUCAGCCUCCCAGGUAGCUGGGAUUACAGGCAUCUGCCACCUCGCCUGGCUAAUUUUUGUAUUUUUAGUGGAGACAGGGAUUUGCCAUGUUGGACAGGCUGGUCUCAAACUCCUGGCCUCAGGUGAUCCAUCUGCCACGGCCUCCCAAAGUGCUGGGAUUACAGGCAUGAGCCACUGUGCCCGGCCUAAUCUCCUCUUUAUUUCAUCAGUAUGUUUUUUACCUCAAGACAUUGUAAUUUUUGUUUAGGCUGUUUUAUAUUUUCCCUGUCUUUAACAUGUUUAUGUUUUUCUUUAUUUUCUUGAGCAUAUGAAAUACAGUUUGACUAAUGCUGCUAUUUGUAUCAUUUGUGAUUAAUUUUCUAUUGGUUGAUUUUUCUCAUUGUGGGUUAUAGUUUCUUGAUUGUUCUCAUGCCUGGUAACUUUUGUCUUUGAUUCCUGGUACACACUCCUAUUGUUCGCAUCUACGUUCAAUAUUCCGGCCGCAUGCUAGACAGUGAAUUUUAUCUCAUUGCUUUCUGUAUACUAUCAUUUCAUUUUAAGUAUUUUUGAACUCUGUUCUGGGAUGCAGUUAAAUCACUUGGAAAUAGUUUGAUGCUUUUGAGGCUUGCUUUUAAUUAUACAAGCCUCUGGGAAUAGAGCAACCUUUAGUCUUGGGCUAAUGUUGCCCAGUGUGGAGGCAAUAUCCUUGUUAGGAUUCUUUGGGAUGCCACUUGUAUUACAAGUUUUUCCACUUUGACUUGUGGGAGCACAACUGUGUUUGGUACUGUUUGAGCCAUGUGGAUAUUUCCAGUGUUUGUUUUAGGUGGUCCUGGGUGUGUGUGUGUACCACCACGCCUGGCUAAUUUUUAAAUUUUUUGUAGCUAUGGAGUCUCCCUAUGUUGUCCAGGCUGAUCUUGAACUCUUGACCUCAAGCGAUCCUCCUGCCUUGGCCUCCCAAAGUGUUAGGAUUACAGGCGUGAGCCACUGUGUCCAGCCAAUAGUUUAUUUUAAGAAAAUUUUUAAAUUUUUAUGGGUACAUAGUAGGUGUAUAUAUGAGAUACAUUAGAUAUUUUGAUACAGGCCUACAAUGUGUAAUCGUAUCCGGGUUCUAGGGUAAUUUCUUUACCUCCAUGUACUCAUUUAUUUGAUGAUUCAAGAGGGAGCCUGUGUAGAAUCUCCAGAGUCCUCUCUCUGCAGCCCCCUUCUCUCUCACUUCCUACCUUGUGAACUCUAAACUGCCUUGGCGUACCCAGAUUCCCAGUCCAUUUUUGCCUCUGGGAAACAGCACUUCUGCCUGCAUUCCCCUACCUUUGCCUUUGUGUCGGAACUCUCUCCAUGGAGUAAGCUGGAAUAGUAGUAGGGGUCACCUCGUUUGUCUCUCCUCUCUCAGAGAUCAAUGCCUUGUAUUGUGUCUACUGUCUGAAAAUGUUGUUUCACAUAUUCUGCUUGGUUUAUUGGUUAAUGUGGCUGGGUAAAUCUGGUUCCCUUUUGGCCAGAAGCAGAAAGCCUUGAUAAAUUUUUAGUUUUGAUUUUGUGUUUAUUUAAAAUCUGCUUAUGCAGAGUACUUUUUACAAAAGAACAAUUCGUAAUUUAUCUUUACUGUAAGAAUGUCCUAUUUGCUUAAAUUUGAAUAGUAUGUGACAUAAAGUGUAAUACACCAUGAAAGGGAGUAAGGAAUGGUAUAGGAGUGAAAGGAUCAAGUGCCACAUAGAAUAAGUGUCCUAAUGCAAACACACGUAUUUCUAGUUUUGAGGCCAUAGAUUUAAUUGUGGUUAAUGCAUGCUUCCAUUCUGGCUUUCCACCUACAUUCCAUGGAACACUGUUGUCCCACUAGAUUUUAAUUGGUUUUUACAACAAACAGGGUUUCAUGGACCACAUGUAUUUAGGACAUUUCAGAGUAACGAAAAUUAAAUUUCGAUUGCAGUGCUUUUCAAAAUUAGUAAUACACUAAUGAAUUCUGUGAAUCACCAGUGAAACAGUGUAGAGUUAUCCAAUCACUGGACUUCAGUGAUCCUUUUCUGGAAAUUCUUUAGAGGUAGGUUGUUAUUAAGUGUUUAAGGAUCUUUCCCUCCCUCCCUCCCUCCCUUCCUUGUUUUGCAGCAGAGUCUCACUCUGUUGCCCAGGCUGGAGUGCAGUGACAUGAUCCCAGCUCACUGCAGCCUCCAUCUCCUGGGUUCAAGCGAUUCUCGUGCCUCAGUCUCCCAAGUAGCUGGGACUACAGGCUCACGUGCUACCAUGCCUGGCUAAUUUUUGUAUUUUUACUAGAGACAGGGUUUGGUCAUGUUCGCCAAGCUGGUCUUGAACUCCUGGCCUCAAGUGAUAUGUUCGCCUCGGCCUCCCGAAGUGCUGGGGUUGAUUGCGGGUGUGAACCACCACUCCCGGCCAAGGAUGUUUUAAUACUGUUUAAAUAAGAUGUAUUUAAUUAUCAUGGGUUACUUACCUAAGCAGAUUCAAGAGUUCAUAUAUUUAGUAAGCCUACUGAUUCCUCUUGAUGGCUGUUCAGGCUCCUUUCAGUCUUCUGUUAGUAUAAUCUUACAUGUUAUUUUAUGAAAUGCAUACAUUUAUAUAUAGGAUGAAUUCUUAGAAUUGCUUGAUUAAAGGAGGAUGAUACGUAUAAUAGGACCAUACAUAUAUAUGCAUGCAUUUGUAUUUUUGAUAGAUAUUGACACUUUUUCUCCAUUGAAAUUAUGUCAUUUUGUUGUUACACCCCUUUGAAAGCCUCUGUUUAGAGACAUUUGAUAAAUAUUCUCUAGUUGCCCUCUAGUAUUAUUCAUUUGUUCUCCUACCACCUGUGUUUGAGUGUCUGCUUACCGUUCCUACCAAACUGUUUAUUUCCAUUUCUACCUAAUAAGUUUUGAGGCAGUUUAGAAUAGUAAUGAAACAUGUGGACUCUGGAGUUGUCUUUUUCCAAUCCUUACUUGGCCAGUAAUUGUGUCUCGGUUUCCCAGUCUGUAAAAUGAGAGAAUAAAUAGUUACCUUGCGCAAGGGCUGUUGUAAUUAAAUGAAUUAAUACAUAUGUAGCACUUAGUGUCUAGCUUAUAAUAGAUGCCAUGUAAGUAUUGUCUAUUAUCAUUGCAUUUUAAAAUUUCACUUACAGGGCUGCCUCCCACCCCCGUCAUAUUUACUGGCCAGUAAUGUUUCUUUUUCUGUGAGUUGCAGUUAGUCUUUUCUUUAAAUGUUAGCAAAGUAGUACAUGCAUAUAGUUUAGAGUCAAAAAAAUCCUAUAAAGUUUACAAAAAGGGAGCCCUUAUCUCCCUUCAGUAGAGACGCAACCUUCCUUUUUUAUUUCCUGAAUAUUUUCAAUAUGCAGUUGGUUGAGUCCAUGGAUGCAAAACCCAUUGAUACGGAGGGAAAACUAUAUAUAAAACAAUAGCAAUCUGAACAUCAAAUGACUAAAGGAUAACAUUAUAGCUGCCUGAAGCUGCAGUGUUGGCAGGGGCAAUCAUAAGACUAGCUGGAGAUUUUACUUGGUAAUCUGGGGAAUGGAACAGCCAUAGUAGACCUUGAUAAGCUCCCACAUAUUCAUGGGUGUCUGGAGAGCUGCACAUGCUCAGGAGAGAGCAGAGAGGCCUCCAGCUGUCUACUCACCUGGCUCAAUGUGCAGCUUUGCUCAAGCAGAAAGUAGAAGUCAGAACUGAUUCAUAAGCCACCUGAACUUUGAGUGGGGUCCAAACCAACACAGAGGGAGAUGCUUUGGUAAAGGACAGAAGCCUUACUGGCACAAUAUGUUUAAACAUAACCUCUUAUUUAUCAUUAGCCGGUCACCAAACUAUACUGACCUAGGAGUGACUUCUAGAAAGCCAAGCUUAAAAAUAAAAAUUGAGGAAAAAGUAAAAAACAGAAGACAACUAACCAGAGACAUCAGUGGUCAUACACUAUUGAGAAGACUAUAGAAAUAGUCCAGGCAAGUCUGUAAACAAACAGCAACCACAAUAAUCUGGGAGGUGUCAGGAGUCAGAAUCUCGAGUUGUUAUAUUAUGGAAAAUGUACAAUUUCAACAAAAGUUUUCGAGCCAUGCAAAGAAACAGACUGAAAAAAAGCCUAGGGGACUAUAAAGGAGACUAAAAUGACAAG